rnacentral:tRNA from 1 species
UAGGGUGUACCUCAGUGGUAGAGCAUUUGCCUAGUAUGUGCAAGGUCCUGGGUUCAAUCCCCAGCACUGUUG